GACAUUCUUGCCUUCGCCUUGCUCUGUGUUAUGUGUUACCUCUGGGCUCCAUCCCAAAGCUCCCAAAGAUACGCAUACUCAGGAGAAGGCGGAGAUGAGGGUGCUGAUGAAGAAGCCCAGUCUCUAACAAAAGGUGUGUCAGACGGAGACAUUGGGUUGGUAAAUCUAGAGAAGAAAGACAGGAAUGCAGAUGCCGUCUUUAGCCUGGAAGACGAGGUAGAGGAGGAUAAGAGGGAGCGAUUUGUCGUCUCAGUACAUGACAUUACCGAGAUCUCAAGAGCUGGAGGAACGUAGGCGAUUAAGCUGCGCCAGUACUCG
rnacentral:misc_RNA from 1 species